UAAGGAAUAUUGGUCAAUGGACGCAAGUCUGAACCAGCCAUGCCGCGUGAAGGAUGAAGGUCCUCUGGAUUGUAAACUUCUUUUAUCUGGGACGAAAACGGGAUUUUUAUCUCAAUUGACGGUACCAGAGGAAUAAGCACCGGCUAACUCCGUGCCAGCAGCCGCGGUAAUACGGAGGGUGCGAGCGUUAUCCGGAUUUACUGGGUUUAAAGGGUGCGUAGGUGGGCUUAUAAGUCAGUGGUGAAAUCUCCGAGCUUAACUUGGAAACUGCCGUUGAUACUAUAGGUCUUGAAUUAUCUGGAGGUAAGCGGAAGAUGUCAUGUAGCGGUGAAAUGCUUAGAUAUGACAUAGAACACCAAUUGCGAAGGCAGCUUACUACAUAUAAAUUGACGCUGAGGCACGAAAGCGUGGGGAUCAAACA
rnacentral:rRNA from 1 species